GACUCCAACAGAACCCAGGUGUUAUGAGUUUGGGGGAAAAAAAGGGGGAAAUGCAUUGUGCAGGAGAGAAAGAGGUGGAUAUGGUGGAGAAGGGAGGGAAAUGGAGAGGAAAAGGAUGGAGAUGAGAACAGGAAGAUGGAAUGGUCUAUCUGCAGUCAUCUUGAAUGUUAGAUUGCACAGCAAGUGAGCUGUGGGUCUGGGCAGUCCUGUUUUCCUUGUAUUUCUUUUCCUUUGCCUUUCUCACAUCUGUCAGGUUAGCUUAUUUUUUUUACAGACUGGAUAAAGAGAAAUAUUUUUGCUUGGUGUUUUUGGAGAUCAAGUGGAUGUAUGUAACAAAAUUAUAUACAAAUCAUUACAGAAUAGAAGUCAGCAGUAAGAUUUUGUAACAUUUCAUCAUGAACAACAGUUUGCAAGUUAUGCAGAGACAACUACCAGGAAGCCAGAAACAUGCUUUGAUUUCAGCUUGGAGCAGAGAAGACUCCACGGAGACCUAAUAGUAACCUUCCAGUACCUAAAGGUGGCCCACAAGAAGACUGAAGAGGGACUGUUUACAAAGGUUCCCAAAGUGCUGAUCCCAACUACUAGUAGCAGAGGUCUGCAGGAAGACACAGCCCAGAGCCAGGGUCCUCCAAGGACAGUGAAGUAAUGGCUCCAGAAGUGCUUUUGAAAGGCAGAGUGCAAAAGUGAAGAAAUCAGGCUGAAUUCUCCCAAGAAUGGGAAAGCAGAGACGAGAUAAAAGACAGUCAUUACACUUCAGAGAUUUGGGUGGCUCAGUUUUCGCAACCAACGUUUGAAUCUCCAGUGUCUGGAGUCAUUUGUUGAGGAUUUGAAGACCAACAGCUUGGGAUUCUCAAGUGCUCAAGUACCUCAGAUAUUCAGGCAAAUCAUGUCAAAAGCACCAUGCAUUUAAGGAAACAUGGGCUCUGCACAUUAUGUAAGAAGUCUGUUGUCAACAGCCCCAGUGAUAAACUUGCCAAACAGAAAAUGUUUGUGCUUUUUCAGUCAUCAGAAUGAUAUCAUAGAUUCAAAUCUUUGCUGCUGUUGGAAAGAGCACAAAGAGUGAAAUGCAGUGUAGAUCCUACUGGGUAACACAUUCCUCAGUGGUACUUUUAAAGCAUUCCACAUUGGCAAUAAAAUAUAGAAAAAGAGAGAACAGAGAAGAGCCUCCACUGAAAAUGGAAGAGGAAAAUAAAUAAUCACAAGAGCUUUUCACUGAUGUGGGCUGUGGCAUCACUCUAUCUGCUGCUUGGAGCAGACACUGUUUCCAAAAUACACAUAGCACAAAUCCAGCAGAGCAAAACUUGAAUAACUAGUCAUGGUCCCCUGGAUCUAAAUAGGUUGCCAACUCCCUAUGGAAAGAGACACCAGAAAUAACUAAAUCUGGAUCACUGGAAUAUUCCAUUUGUCCCUCAAAUAAACAGUCGCUACAGAAACAUUUGAUUUUCAGCAGUUUCCCACUGAAGCUACAAAAGUCUGGUCAUGGUGCACAGUGAGACAUGAGACUGUUUAUCUCAUUCUCAAGAUGAUUAAGGGGUAUUUAUUUGCUGUUACCCCUUGAGAGAAGGAUGUGAUUUAUCACAAAACAACGGUGAAUUUCACAGGAGGGUAUCGGGAUCUGUAGGGUUGCAACAUAAAGGUCAGCAUCAAGCAGGCAAUGUUUUCUAUGGUUCUGGAAACGUUUUAGGACAGUAUUGCAGUAAGGUGAAAUUCAGGCUCCAUUGAAGCUGAUUCCAAAGCUCCUGUUGACUCUACCACAGCCAAGUUUUCCUUCAAAUAAUUCCAACAUAUAUUUUAGCUCCCUGGAGCUAAUAUUUUAGUCCCCUGUGUGACUAGAAAUAGAGGGGGAA